CUAUAGGUACCAGGCUGCCUAGGAAGCCAGGUGGUGCCUUUAAGAUCUCCAUGGAGAAACGCACAGCUCGACGCAGGAUCCGACGAAGAACCAGCCUAAAGGGGUUCAGAGCCCAGACAUGAAACCCCAGCGGCUCAUGCCCUUCCAGACUCACGGGGGACCUGACAUCCCAGGGAAGACGCCAUCAGAGAUGCAGACACUGAGUGUGCGGAUGUGGUCAGCCACCACGCGGUAUGCUGUGUCUGUGCGCCCCUCGUCUGCCACCCCUACUCGGCCCAAGUAAGGGGGUGCCCUGCAGCCCUGGGAAGCAGAAGAGUCAGCCAGUGGCCCUGCCUGACCUGGCCCAGUAGAGACAGGAUUUUGCCAUGUUGGCCAGGCUGGUCUCCAACUCCUGACCUCAAGCGAUCCACCUCCCUCUGCCUCCCCAAGUGCUGGGAUUACAGGAGUGAGCCACCGUGCCCAGCCCUGAGAACUCUUCUCACCACUCUGAGAAUCAAGGCCCCACUUUGGACUUCGAGGCCCACAAGACUGGAUUCUGCCUUCUCUGUGAGACUGUUCGCAAAAAUGGCCCUUUCCUAGGCAUAUGCCACUUUAAAAUGGGACUUUACAGCUGUUUCCCAUCAAGGGACAGAAUCCAUUUCUCCAUCCCCUGAAUCUCUGCUGGCUUUGUGACUUGCUUUGGCCCACAGAAUACAGUGGAAACAACACUG